AAUAAAAGAGUAGGUAUGUUUUCCACUUCUGGUAACUUUCAAAGUAGUUCAUUUGUAAAAUUAUGGAGUAAGAGGGACUAUCAAGUUUAAUAUUAUAUAUCUUAGUAUUUCUUGGGUGAACACACAAGUUUGAAUUUUCUAUAAAUUGCAGUUAGAGACCUUAAGAAUAGUAAAAUUGCAUCAAUUUGGUUGCUAUGUGACUUGCCAUAUAUUAAGUUGGUAUUAUUAAGUUAGGAAGGAAGACAAUGCAAUUAAGUGAUUUGCUCCUGAUUUUUAUGUUCAGCCAAUUUAAAAUUUCAUUAUAUGUUUAAGAGUUAAUACAAAGAUUUAUACAUUGCUUUGUUUGGGGGUAAUCUGGGGAUAAAUUAAGAUAGUCAUUGAUUAUAUCAAUUGUCUAGCCUGUAUCUAUUAAUAUAUCUAUGUUUUGCCUAUAUCUAUAUGUAUCCAUAUUAUUAUAGUAAUGUCCAUUAAGUUAACUUUGCAUUACAGUUAAGGAUUAUGGGCACUAAAUACACUUAAAUGUUUGUAGAUUGGGGAACUCUAUAUGCAGCUUACAAUUUCAGAGACUUAAAAAAAUGAAUAUUCAGUGCCUGAUGGCUAUAACCAAUGCCAUAUUCAUUCCAAGCAUUGUCUGUAGAGUAGCUAAAAACUCUUUUUAUAACCUGCAAGGUAAUGCUAUUUAUUAUUUAAUAUUCUGGUAGUAUUCCCAUGUAUGUAAAGCAAGGAAUUUGCUAAUAAGAGACACUAAUAUAAUAGUUAAUAUUAAGUAGACUUUCAUGUCAUCUGGUCAUGUGCCACUAACUGCUUAGUUUUAUUUAUUUGUGAAAGUCCUCCCCUUUGAAUUGCUAGAAACUGUUGAAUGGUGUUAGUCUGAUAUUUUCAUGGAGGUGACUUGGCUGUUGCUAAUGUCAGAUUUAUCAUAAACAACUCAUAAAUAUAUAUAUAUAUAUAAAAUAAGCUAUACAUAGACUAUCACAAAAUAUAUAAAUUUAAUAUCCCACACAAAAGCUAUAACACCUAGUUUUUGUGGAGGCCAAUAAAAUGCUAUAUUUUAAUUUGUAUUUAAAUUUUAAAAUGAAUUUAAAAAUUAUUUUUAAAUGGGCAUUUAUUGGAAGAUAUAUUUAAUGUUAUUUGUCAAUUGAUUUCUUUCUUAGAAAGAUAAAUUCUUUGGAUGAUAUGAAUUAUUCUAAUCCACAUUUGGAAAACUUUUGUGGGCAUCUCUUAUUGAGAGAGAAAAAAAGAUUUUUUAGCUAGUUGACAUCUGUAUAAUAUUGCAUAGGAAGAUUUCUUGCAAGUGUAAGUUAAUCUACAUAGAUUUUUUCAGUAAUAAUCUCUAAAAUUCUUUUAUUUUUCACAAAAUUUGCAAAAUUUUAAAAAUAUGAAUAGAGUGAAGAAUUAAUUACAAAAUUUAGAGUUAGAAGCAAACAUUUUUUCUUUAUUUUCUGUUAAUAUGGAACUUUAAACUUUUAAUUUCUGUAUUAAUUACUCCCUUGGAAUAUUGAACAAUGGUAUACUCUUGAAGAAAAACUAUUUGCUUCACUGUGGUAUGUCCUGAAAUUAUUGGGAGCCUGCAGUAAAUUGAGGAAUAGAAGAUUAAAAAUAGUGAAUUGACGAGUCUUCAAGUUCAGUUGAGGGCCACAUUUCUCUUAUUCUAUACAGAAAAAAUAGCUAAAAAUCAUGUAUUUCAAAGUACUUUAAAAUAAUGAUGAAAUAAAAAUUGUAAAUAAAAAAUACACUCAAUUUUGUCCAUUUUCCCUUUGCAUGCUACAUUAAGAUUACCUAGUUUGGAAGAGUGGCUUUAAAGCUUAACACACAAUUCGAUUAAAAGAUCUGAUUAUUUAUAAUUCACUGACAAAAUCUGUCAUAGAUUAAUUGUAGCAUAUUUGGUAUUCAAGAAAAGUUUUAAAUUUAUUUUUUAUUACUUACAAUAGCAUAAAAGGCCUUUUUUUCAUUUUCUAGUAGAAGCUUGUUUAAUUUCCCAUAGCUAAUGUCUCCUAACAGUAAAUGCCAUGGACUGGUAAGCCUUCAUGCUCCUUGUGUGUGCUGAGAAGUUCAAAGGCAUUUGUGUGUGUGUGUUUUUUCUUUUUAAUAAAACCCUGUGAAUUCAGUGCGAAUCAUUUGGAAUGAUGUGUUUCUCACUGUAUACAAAUUAUUUUCAUGGUGUGCAUUUUCAUCCAUGUCCAAUAUGUCAGUGUAAUACUUUGUGAUGUUAUAUAGCCCAUACUUACAUGAUUAAAGUAUGCAUUUAUUUGGAUAAAUUCUGUGAAGAAAUUUUAUGCUGUUUUUAAAUGCUUUUCAAAAUAUAGCUCAGUGAAUGUAUUAUUGGGGGAUGGAUGUAUAUUGACAACAUUACCUAUUAAUGGAAUGCUUAUAUUCAUCAUGAAGCUUGUUGUUUUGAUUUUAAGAAAGAUCUAAAAGUUUAAUUUCUCCUUGAAGAAAAACAACAAAGUGAGGCAAGAAGACAGUUACUAAUGCCAACAUAGAAUGCUUAUAUCCACAAAAUAUAUGUAUAUUUUACUCUUCUUGCUUUUGUGUAGAAAUUAUAGAACGAAUAUCUGCUUUGAAUUUGAAAAUUUCAAAUUUGUAAUCUGUGUUGUAAUUGUCUUCUUACCUCAACUGUUUAUGUAUAGCAGUAUAUUCUGGACUAUGCCAUUAAAGUAGGAAGCCAGCUAACCUAGAUUUGGCAACAGCAUUGAAGGUUUAAACAUGUUUUUUCCAAGACUGUUGUCAAUAUAAAUAGAUUAAAUGGCUUUUAAUUU
rnacentral:lncRNA from 1 species